AUUGAACGCUGGCGGCAGGCCUAACACAUGCAAGUCGAACGAGUGGCGGACGGGUGAGUAAUGUCUUGGAAACUGCCUGAUGGAGGGGGAUAACUACUGGAAACGGUAGCUAAUACUGCAUACCAUCAGAUGUGCCCAGAUGGGAUUAGCUAGUCGGUGGGGUAACGGCUCACCAAGGCGACGAUCCCUAGCUGGUCUGAGAGGAUGACCAGCCACACUGGGACUGAGACACGGUCCAAACGCCUACGGGAGGCAGCAGUGGGGAAUAUUGCACAAUGGGCGAAAGCCUGAUGCAGCAAUGCCGCGUGUAUGAAGAAGGCCUUCGGGUUGUAAAGUACUUUCAGCGGGGAGGCGUUACCCGAAGAAGAAGCACCGGCUAACUCCGUGCCAGCAGCCGCGGUAAUAC
rnacentral:rRNA from 1 species